AAGCCGUGUUGUGGGUAUGAACUAACCAAAUCCUUGAACCUUUCCCAACAUUGGAAAAAUGUUUCAUUUUCCUUUUAGGCGAAGUUCAUGAUUGCUUUUCUGAGGGU